GGAACCCAGAGAAUAACUUUUUCUUAUUCUCACUACAUUUUUGUGAUUGUUCUUUUGCCAAAUAACCUUCUGAAAUGUUAUCGUUGUAUGUGCAGAGUUAUUUAAAGGUUGGGGGUUUGCAAUUUUCCCCAGAGAACACUUCCACUAAAGGAAAUAAAGAAUUUCAGUUGCAGGCACAAAUGGGUUAGGAGUCAUUUUUUACCCGUUUUCGUAGAUUGCAGGUGAGGAUGAGGUUGCGGGAGAACGUGUUGGCGAACGCCGUGUAGAACUCCAGCACCCUCAUCAGAGCUUCUCUCCUGAUGACCUGCAGGUCGCAACAUGGCCCAGGUGGAGACGAUGAAGUCCAUGACCCUCUCACUCAGACCUCUGGGAACCUGAUAAAGCUUCAGGAAAUCGCGCACGUUGUUGAGCAUCUCAUGGUAGCGGUUUGUGUUGGUGUACAUCUGCUGGAAGAUGGUGGUGACAUUUCCAAAGAUGGUUGCAUACAGCAGCGCUAAAACAAAAGAUGAAGAGCAAAGUCAGCUGGAGCGAUGUUGCCAAAUCCGAUGGUGGUGAGACUCGUCAUGGUGAAGUAGAGAGAAGAAAUGUACAGUGUCUCCUUGUUGGGACCCCCCUCCCACUGUCCUGUACCACUGGCGUUGUAGCGGUAAGGAG